rnacentral:lncRNA from 1 species
UCAUGUACUAAGUACCAAUUAUAACAAUUUAAUGUUUUUAUUACAUUUCCCAUUAAGGAAAAUAAAAUUUGUAAUGAAUUUUGCCAAUCUUAGGUUAAACAUGUGACAAGCACUUGUUGCAUUUGGAAUGUCAAUGGAAUAAAUUACACAAACUUUAACAGCCAUGCUAUUUACUUCAAACUGUUACAUUUCUUGUGCACGUAUUUUGUGUCUAUAUGAUUCUGUAGUUUGAAUUUGUGAUCAAGUCAAUGCCAAAUUCAAACUAUAGAAUCAAUGUUUAUAAUCUGUUGCUGUGAAAUGGUAUACAUUUGUAGAAUCUAUUGAAGAAUAUGUUUUUGUAAACAUAUGCUAUUCAUGUAAUGACAAAGUAUUCCCAACCUUCAACCUCAAUUUAACAAUUUUAAAAUUAUAAUUGGUACUGAAGGAUGAUGCAAAUCUAAGGAUCUUAGCAAUGUUAGCUUCUGAAUUGUUUUGGAGUUGAACCAACAUUGACAUGUUCAUAAAUCAAUCAAACACCAGGCAAAUUGUAUUUUUUUUCCCGUAGAAUUGUAGUUAUUGGAAUGUAUUCACAAAACAAUCCCUAAAAACACAUUUUUACUGUCAACACAGAACUGCAACUGUCUUGUGAUGCAGUUUGCUGUUAUUCAAAUAAACAGAAAUUUUGUACAUGUAUAUUGUAGAGUAGCAAGUCUCAUGGGCAAAAGUGUGAAGAGGGGAUUUUAAAUUGCAUGGGGGAGGGGGUUGGAGCUGGCCAAACUGUGAGGCCAUAUCCCUAUCUCCUUGCAUGCUCUACACUGUCCCUUUUUUGCCUUGGUGCUUUACAUGACAAGGAGCUUCCAUUUUAAAACUCAAAUUAUACUUACAUAUAUAUAU